rnacentral:lncRNA from 9 species
GAGCUGGAGGAAGCCGUUUACGAACUUGAGAGCUGGCGCCCAGGGCGAGGCGCCCUUGUGCCGGCGAGAGGAGACGAGAGGUGGGACGCAGGCAGCGCGCCUUGUCCGCCAGAGACAACCUGCUCUGAGCGCGCAGGGCACCGAGCACCGGGUGCCUCCAGCAUGGAGUGGGAGCUCAACUUUCUGCUCUACCUUGCGCUCUUCUUCUUCCUGCUCUUUUUACUUUUCCUCCUACUCUUUGUGGUCAUCAAGCAGCUGAAGAACUCCGUGGCCAGCACUGCCGGGGCUCUCCAGCCCGGGCGCCUGUCGCUGCACCGGGAGCCUUGGGGCUUCUCUCGCGAGCAAGCCGUGUGACCAGCAGCGCACGGAUACUGGCGGAAGGGCAUGGAGCCGGGCUGGCUCCGGGCUUGGUCUUGGCUUGGAUCUUCUGGCCACACGUCUGUCCAGGUUCUAGGACCAGGCUCGGCUGCAGCACUGGCAGAUGCCUUUUUCCUUGGUUUCCACCCUUUGGUGUUCCAGAGCCUAGCAACUGCCCGGGGCUGGUGCCUAGAGGAUCACAGAUGCAGUUGCAAUGGGGUAACCAGGAACCCUGCAUGGAGGCUGAAACAACCAGAAAUGGAAGUUUUCUGCGAUGCAGUGCCACUGGUGUCCAGAGGUUUAAACCACCCCAACUCUUUUAGACUGGAGACUGCAGAGAACCCAGGAUGAAAGUCUUUCUUAUUGGGAAUCAAGAUGGAUUGCUGUCUUGAAAUUACUGGACUGAACAAUGGCUUAAGGAUGAAGAUGAUGGUGGAUCUUGGGUGAACAAAUGAUAGUCUGUGCCCUGGAUAUAAAAUGCAAUAGUAAAGAAGCAUGAUGUUUGAAACAGAUCAGAACUGUGGCUCUGUUACCACUGGCAACACUCCAAGCAACACUGCUUUGUUCUGAGAGAGUGAAGACAUGCUAGGUCUUCCCAUGAAACACUUGCCAGCACUGACCUUCUCUCUCAACCAAUAUCCUUGACCCCAUCAGGCUUUUCUAGAGGAGGACCCUGGGAACCUACACACUUUCUUGGAGGACAUAAUCUCUUCAUGGAGGUUUGAAAUAGGAUAAGGAAUGUUCUACCUUGCUGCUUCUACAUCUGCUUCAUUUAUCUCUUCUCUAAUUUUCCUAUCAAAUUUUUAGUGGAGUCUAGUUGUGUAUUUGAUCCCCAUAAAAGGAUCAUCCCUUCCAUGCACAGGGGAGGGUAAUCUAUGAAAAGAAAGGCUACUUUUCUCCCUUCUGUGAUUCCACCACCAGUCUAGGAAUAUCCUGGGAGAAUUGCAUCUCAAAGCUUUCCAUAAGCAGCCUACAUCCUGUCUAAGCAAAGGGAGAAGAAACACUUCCCACAUCCAGGGCUGUCCAAAAGAACUUUCUGUGAUGACAGAAAUGUUCUAUAUCUGCAUUAAUAUGGUAGCCACUAGCCACGUGUGGCUAGUGAAUAUUCGAAAUAUGGCUAGUGUGAUUGAGGAAGUAAAUUCUAAUUUUAUUUAAUUUUAAAUAAUUUAAAUAUAAAUAGCCACAUGUGGCUAGUGGCUGUUGUAUUGUAGAGCAUAGUACACACCUUUCUCGUGUUUUAGAACUUGCUGGGAGAGGUUUGAACAAGUCAUAUACGUGGCGUUCCAUGGUCUUCACUGUUCCACCUUGCCAUUGAACUUGUCUCCCAGAGGAAAAAGAAAUAUGGUAUUUUGGAGCUAAAUUGAAGAUGUUAAUUGAACAUCUACACAUUGAAGUAUGUAUUCUUGUGUAAAUGGGAUGAUCUCCUGGGAAUAGGACCUGCGAUUGAUGUUAGUGAUUACUGAUGAUGGGAAACUGGUAGUGCUGGUCCAGUUAACAUCUCUAGUAUGUUCCUGGUUAGAAUGAGUCAGCAAAGAUUAUUUUAUUCUAUUGUGCGGUUCAUUCUGUGUUACUUUAUUUUUGUAUUAUUAUGACUGCUAAGUGAUUAUUCUGUGUCUGUUUUUCAAAAUGCUCUAUGGUUUAUAUUUUUUAAAAGGUUAUGAAAUAAAAAGUAAUUAUAUG